UACGUAGGGUGCAAGCGUUGUCCGGAAUUAUUGGGCGUAAAGAGCUCGUAGGCGGUUUGUUGCGUCGGCUGUGAAAUCCCGAGGCUCAACCUCGGGUCUGCAGUCGAUACGAGCAAACUAGAGUGUUGCAGGGGAGACUGGAAUCCUGGUGUAGCGGUGAAAUGCGCAGAUAUCAGGAGGAACACCGGUGGCGAAGGCGGGUCUCUGGGCAACAACUGACGCUGAGGAGCGAAAGCGUGGGAGCGAACAGG
rnacentral:rRNA from 1 species